UGAAAAUUACUUCAACACACUGUGAACCUGCAUGGAUCCUAACCGGAUCUCUUUGACCCGUUUUACCUCUUAUGGAUCCAAUAUAAUGUUUCUAUCACUCGCUUUCUAAACCCUAAUUCAUUUCAUCCAGCCGCUACCCCUUCUUUCUCUCUCUGGUGAUUUUCAAUUUAGGGUUUCUUGCCUCCUGUGGUAUGAGCCAGAUCUUAUCGGAUCCAACAAUGGUGGUCAAGGCAAGUUCCAACAAUCCGAGAUCUAGGGUUUUAAUUUCAUGUCUGAGAUUUCAUGAUUCCACUUGGCUGAGGUAUCUUCUCUGGCGGCGGCAGUGACAAGGGUGUACGGGAGUUGCGUGUUUGGAGACUCGAUGAAAAUGGGUGGCACCGGCAUCAACAGCAGGCGGCGGCUAGGGUUCUGACCACGACCACCUGAUUAUCUACUAACAAAUAUUGGGAAUGUUCCUUUUAUUCAAGUUUUGGAGCUCAUUUUACAUUUGGGUACCGGUCUCGAAGAUUAUUCCAAGAUUUUGUUACGGAUCUGAUCUGGUAUGUUUGUGCAUCAUUCAUUGACCCAUUGUUUGUUGGCCCAGUUUCCGCUGAUACCAAAGCUGGUGAUGAUAUGUGUUGGGUUGAGCGACAGACAUGGAGGACGUAAAAAAGCUAGAAAAUUUCUUGGGGUGGGUAAAACCCUAACAACGUCGACGAAGCUGAACAGAAAACCCUAAUAAGGUUUUGACUUUAGUGAAAAAGGUAUAAUAUAAUUCUACAGAGGCGAUGUUAGUAGUGUUUUGGAGUUGUGGUUUCUAAGAAAGAGAAUAGAAAGGUGAGAGGGCGAUCAAUAGACAUAUUUGGUUUCAGAUAGACCAGUAGAGCAGAGCAUUCGAUAAAUGGUAUAGUUGGGUGAAUGGAUUUAGGGGAGUGGGCCCUCAACUGCAGGGUGGAAGUGUCCAUACAUAAGGGUAUCGUAAUCUCGAAACAAAUGUUGGUUAUGUAAGGUUAACUAAAUUAUACAGCAGGAAUUACAAGAAUGCUAAACGGGCAGCGGUGCUGGGUCGAUUAAGGCACACGUUGUAUGUUCUGGUGACCCUUGAUACAUACAUCCGGUUGUAGGUCAAGUUAUGGAUAAAUAUAUGAUUGAUAGUGAUGUUUCUGGAGAAAUAGGCGUUUUUGGGCGAAGGGUGUGAUCAGCAAGUUCAAAGUAACUAUGGUGAUGGUUUCUGGUGAUCAGCCAACAUCUCGGUCAAAAUAGAUUAAACUCGGGUCAACAAACGGUCAUCGGAAAGAUUUCACUUAUACGCGGACGACAUGACUCGCCAAGUGGAAGCGCAUAACUACUGCGGCCAUCUGAACAAAGACAUGCGGCAAUCUCUGAUCUACGACCGGCCCGAUGCCGAUGCGCGGUUGAUCAGGCUGGAACUCUUCCGGACACCGAAAAACCGAUGUGGCAUAGCCAUGAGUACGAGGUGAAGAGCGGCGUGCUCUUCCUUCCCGGUGUUCCCGGUCCGGUUGAACGAAAAGAUCUCGAGAAAGUGGCAAAACACGGGAAGACCAUACACUUUUGGCAGGUGGAUAGAGAUGAUGAACUGUCGCUCGGGUUACCGCAGUAGGCUACCAUAUGCCUAAAGGGAGAAACAGUCUUUGUUAAUAAAGGGAGUUGGUGAACUUUUCAAAAUUCAGUUCAAGUUUUUCACUGGCACAAGGAAGGUAAAGAGGAUCAUUUUAGUGAUAGGCCAUAAAUCACCAACUCAUUGCAUAAACUCUUCUUUUAUGUGUCAUAAGGGAUUGUUGCUGUGUCAUUGGGUGCUGAUUCAAAUGACCACCUUUGUACACCGGUGGAUGAUAUGGUUGUUGGUGGCAAAUCCGUAAAUAACGAGGCGCUAGGAACAAAGAUUGAUGCACAAACUUGCAACCCAACACCAUUGCUCACACCAUUCACGUCUACUGUCGAUCGAGCUCUGUUUUUGUCGAUUUGGUGAUUUGGGCCCUAUAUGAAAUCCUAACAAAAUGCAUGGCAGCCAAAGGUAAUAAUAAGAUCACUAUUGGUUUAGUAUUUUUCAUCUUGCUUUUAUUUUGUUUUCUUAGGCCGUUUUUACGUUAUCAACACUUGGUAUUGCGCUGUAGCGAUCGACGUUAAAUUUGGUCCCUAUUUGUUGCGUACAUUGUUAGGAAUGAUACCCGAGAUUUUCGUCGCAAUAUACAUGGGUAUAAUGAUCCGAACAUUGGCAGAUGCCUAAAACGAUCAUCAGUCACUUUCGGCACCACAGAUUAUCUGUACGGUUUUCGGGUUUCUUUUGACCAUUGCGACCACCGUGGUGGUCACCGUUUAUUGCAAAAGGCGGUUGAGUGAGUUGCAGAAAGAUGAUGAACAGCUACUGCUGCCAAAAGAUUUUGAAGAAACUAUGUGGAGGAACUAUCAAAACAAAGAAUGUUUUUCAUUGAUUUUUAGUACAUAAAUGAAAGAAAGAUUUGACCGCAUCUUUGUUUUGCUUGUUUUAUUCCGCUUAUACCCUCAAUAAGUUGUAUAUAACCGACAUACGUACUCUAUAAACGAUCCUUCCUUUCGGUUUCA